CACACCGCCCCUCAUUCCAGGCGACCACAAAUCAACUUCAUUUCAUUAUAGUGCCGAGACGCUCCUCGCUCCCAGCGGCCCCUGGCCAUUGCAGCGAUAAUAUCCGUGGAUAACCCGAAGCCGUUAAUAUGUUUGCAUACUGAAUGUGUUUUUUUUUCACGCUCAAUCCAGUGACGUAAGUUCUAUUAUGCUUUUAUAUUGAGAGAGAGCAAUAUUCGUCGGCCGUACAACUCCUCCAAACCUGCAGAAAGACACACAGGGCUCGUGUUGUUAGAGAAACGGAGUGGAGUCCCACACGCUGGAGAGAUGUACAUCUUAUAAAUGCAUGGCAACCACAGUCGUACCUACACUGGAUAGUGGACACAUGCACUGAAAAGACCUGGAUCUGGAACAGCUAAAUGGAGAAGCACACCCUAUCUGUGCAAUUUAAGUCUGGUGUCAAGCAACAGAUAAUUAAUGAGAGAAUGGCGGAGCUCAGAUUUUCUUGAUACAACUCAUUCUUUGCAAGUCACAGCACAGACGGACACGCCAUGGAUCUCCUUUGGGUUCUGUACUCCAUGCUGACUGUAUGUAUGGCCAUCAAUAUGGAAGCUACCAGGAGCCAUAGCAUGUUUACCUGUGAGCCUAUCACAUUAAGGAUGUGCCAGGGCCUCGCCUACAAUACCACCUUCAUGCCCAACCUUCUGAAUCACUAUGAUCAGCAGACCGCUGCUCUCGCCAUGGAGCCCUUUCAUCCCAUGGUGAACUUGGAGUGCUCUACUGAAAUUCGCCCAUUCCUGUGUGCCCU